CUGGUGAGUCUGGUUGCUGGUGAUGUUUUAGAUGCCAUCAGCUCCAAGGCUGAUCAGUA
rnacentral:pre_miRNA from 1 species